UUUGCAAAUACCUAGAAGAUAAUAAGGUGAUAAGUAACAGUCAACAUGGAUUUGUCAAGAUCAUGUCAGGCCAACCUGUUACAGGAUGUUGUGUAGUAAUAGACUCGAUGGGCUCAUAACAGUUUUAAUUUAGUUGUUUUGCAGGACCCCCGCCCCUAUAGACAGAUGCUUGAGGGAUAAAAGAUCGUAUCAUCUGGUGUCGUUUAAAAUAAAAUAGGGAGGUAAUGAUAAGGAUGCAAAGCAGGGAAGUAAUUUAUUGAAGGUAAGAUGCAGUAAUGGGAGAGGGGGAAGCAAUGUAUAUAAAACAGAACAAACUGAAUAUAUAACAGCUCCGUGAUUUAUAUCCCAAGGUAGCCUUGAAGCCCAGACCCCACCAAUUACCUUAAUAGACUACAGGCCUAUGAAUAACGAUUAAUGUUACUUUCAGAUGGAUGACACCGAGACACAAAACGGACGGCGUGUCAACUCAGUCUGCCUCAGCUUCAGCGGGAUGGAUCCGGACCUUCUACUGUGAUGUUGGAAUCUCACAGGAGGAACUCAGAUCAGACAUGAUGUUACUCAGUCUUGUUUCAGCACUGCACUGAUGCAGGGGAGAUGGAAGAAGUACAGAGGACAGCAGACAGCGUAUGUAUGCAAACAUUAGGAGAACUGGUCAGAUGACAUGGACUCCAGUGCCAGCAAUAUACAGGCCAGCCCUGCUCCUACAUCAUAUACAGCCACAUUACUACCACCAGGAUGGCUCGGUGCAUGGAAGAAAUGAGCUCAUGGAUGAAGAACAGUUGGCUGAAGCUGAACUUAAACAAGACAGAUGCAGCAAUGCGAUGUACCUGAGCAUGAAGCCUUCAAAGCUAAGGAAAUUCCAGCUAGUACAGAAUGCUGCAGCACGUCUCUUCAUCAACAUGGGCUACUGCCAACACAUCAAACCUGUCCUCCACUCCCUAUCCUGGCUUCCCAUGGAAUUUCAAAUCAAGUUCAAGGUCUUGAUCCUUACCUCAGGGUGCUCCAUGGCCUGUCCCAGGAUAUCUAGAGACUGACUAAUGCUCUGGAAUGAAAAUGGUGUUUGACAACUUUGCUCCUCUGGCACAGUGGAACCCCCCACAAUAAGAGUAAAGUUCGUUCCUGUGAGAUAGAACUUUUCAGGAAGACUGUACAAGGAGCUCUCUCCAAGACGGUACAAGGAGCUCCCUCAAGAAGAAACUGGGACUGACCUUGCAAUCUUUGCUCAUGCCAGGGUCUGUCUAUCAUUACAGCUUGUCAGAUAAUAGUCAGUAAAUAAUUUAUUUGAAGAAUUUUCCAAUAAAUGAUUUUGCAAAUAUUUUUUCCAAUGUAGAGAGCUGGGUAAAAAUAAUAAAUCAGUCCUGAAUAUUUGUGAGUUUCACAACAUUUUUGGAAUAAAAAAUUCUCAAGUAGUAUUUGUCAUUAGUCACCCAUCUCUAGUGUUCAUAUGGCACACAAUCACUAGGAACUAGAAUAAAAUUAAGGAAUGCAAAUGAUUGAAUCAAAGACAACUCUGCUAUUUAUUGCCUGCCACCUCUCUCCCCUACACAUACAGUUGCUCCAAUCCACUCUCCAAUGGCCCUCUCCCUGCUGGUUCAGCAGCUCCAAGAUGUUCUAAAGGUGGCCCAUAAUGAAUGAAUGAACCAAAUUUCAACAUUCUCGUUCAAAGGGUACUUGGAUAUUUGAUGUCCCAUAAGAAUGAUGUUUUGGUGACCUUUCAUGGAAAGAUCAAUUUCAGGGCAUAGUUAAUUCACCUCCAUGAGAGGCGGUAGCUAUGUCGAUGGGAGAGGCUGUCUCGCUGACACAGUGCUGUCUACAUGGGGGUUAGGUCAGUAUAACUCCAUCGCUCAGGUUUGUGGAUGUUUUACACCGCCGAGAGACAUAGCUAUACCAAUAUAGGUCUGUAGUGUAGACCAGACCUCAGGAAUUGUUUUUCCUGUGCUUUAAUGGCCCCUGGCAUUACAAAUUCCAGGUGUUCUAAAAUCAUGAGUCAGGGCCCCAAAAUCAUAAGAGUGAAUUAAAAAUCAUGAGAUUUUUAAACAAUACACUUUGGGUUCUUUUUCUUCUUUGGCUGCUUCCUGACGUGUUAGUAGCCCCUGGGUCACAUUUUCAAGAUUUCUUUGCAACCAUGAGGACUAGAAACUUACUUUUUUAAAAAUUGAAAGCUGUGAUUCUCACUAAAUCAAAUGUCUCCAGAAGCUGGGUCUUUAAAUAAAACACCAAAUAUCACAAACCCCAUGAUCAAAUAGCAAGAGUUGGCAACACUAGUAAUGAAUAAGUGGGUAAAACAUACAAUGGAAACAUGGAAAUUAACUGUGUCAGUAAGUCAUCCUUUCUGUAUUUUACUAGCUAUUUCUUAGGCCUAGUCUACACUUAAAAAGUUUUACCAGACUAGCUGUAUCAGUUAUGGGAGUGAUUUUCUUUUGUUUGUUUUUACCAACAUAGCUAUGCCAGUAAAAGUUCUAGAAUAGGUGCAAUUAUAUUGGUAUAAUUGUACUUGUACCAGUAUAGUUUAUGCCAGAUAGGAGAACUGGCAUAAGUUAUAAUGAUAUAAGCACUUUUAUUCUGACAUAACUGUCUACACUAGAAGGUUUUACUGGUAUAGCUAUACCAAUAUAACUAUACUGGCAAAACCCUUCUAGUGUAGACAGGACCUGAGACUCUUUCAUGCCCAUUUAAAGAUAUGAAACUUACAACACCUUACACAUCACCUCUGAUUAUGGUGCCUUGUGUGACUAACCUUGAGUUUGUCACGUGAACUCUUUACCAAACAACAUAUUAAAUAGUUUGUGCCGGGAAACCUAUUUUGUAUGUUUCUGUUUUUCAUAUUUUAAGGCUAGACACUGUCUUUAUUUUGUUUCUUGGCCAGCACUGUUCAUAUUGUGAGUAAUUAACAAAUAAAAAUUCUGACAGCAAUUUUAAAGAGAGAUUUUUUUGUUUUCUGAAUGUAAUCUUUUUAAUGUUUAAAGUAUAUUUUUAAAAUAUCCUAAAUUAAGUAACAUUGCUCCAAGGAAUUAUUUUUAAUGCACUAUAUAAGAACAUGUAAAUGGGUGUUGCCCACAUGUAUUUCUAUUUUUCCAGUUCUCUCAGGGAUGGGUUACUGAUCUGUUUAACUUUUUGUUAAAAAAAUUCAAACAUAUUGAUCCAUCCUGAAGUGAGUAAUAUGAAAUCUUAAGUAAUAUCAAGGUUGGGAAAGUUGGAAGGUUUUUUACAAUUAUCAGAGCCAUCUGGUCUUCCUUCAUUUAGAAGAUAAUGAAGUACAUGGUUUUUGCUGAAGUUUUCUACCCACAAGACUUAUUGGUGGGGGGGGAGGGAUAGCUCAGUGGUUUGAGUAUUGACCUGCUAAUUCAAUCCUUGAG